GCCAUCUAUGAUUGCAACAUGGUGAUUGUUGACAGGAGGAUUCCCAAGAGGAACAGACACAUUUGAAUUCACAUGAGGAGGACCAGACACAUUUCCCUCAGAAGGAGGUAUUUCAACACUGGUGGAGACAUGAGCAACAGCAGGUCUCCUUCCCUUGUUGUAUUUGAUACUUUGAGGAUACCCAUGUAUCUUAUAACACUUAUCAAUUAAGUGCCCAGAUUUCUUGCAGUAUCUGCAAAACAGGGGUCCUUUAUUUGACUCAAAAUUAACUUUGGGUCUGAAAAC
rnacentral:lncRNA from 1 species